rnacentral:rRNA from 1 species
CCACGGGAGGCUGCAGUGGGGAAUAUUGGACAAUGGGCGAAAGCCUGAUCCAGCCAUGCCGCGUGUGUGAAGAAGGCCUUCGGGUUGUAAAGCACUUCCAGUGGGGAAGAAAGCCUUGGGGCUAAUACCCUCGAGGAAGGACAUCACCCACAGAAGAAGCACCGGCUAACUCCGUGCCAGCAGCCGCGGUAAUACGGAGGGUGCGAGCGUUAAUCGGAAUUACUGGGCGUAAAGCGCGCGUAGGCGGUCUGAUAAGCCGGUUGUGAAAGCCCCGGGCUCAACCUGGGAACGGCAUCCGGAACUGUCAGGCUAGAGUGCAGGAGAGGAAGGUAGAAUUCCCGGUGUAGCGGUGAAAUGCGUAGAGAUCAGGAGGAAUACCAGUGGCGAAGGCGGCCUUCUGGACUGACACUGACGCUGAGGUGCGAAAGCGUGGGUAGCAAACAGGAUUAGAUACCCUUGUAGUC